GGAAAACACAGGUGCAGAGAAGAAAAGUAUGUGCAAAAAAUGGUGUUCACUCGCAUGUGAUUCAUGGAGUCGCCGCUGUCCGCCGGCAUCCUGCCUCAAACGUUGUCGGUGGAGCUAGGCUUUACGCAUCUAGCCACACGCGCGAGGCCAGGAGGCGGAGGAACUAGCCAUGACGCCGAGUGGCUUGGAGGUCUCACACACGGUUUAUGUCCCUCGCCAGAUGGUUACUCGAAGAAGUUACAUCACCAUGCAAAAAACACGUACACUUCUUCUCACUUUUGUGGGCGUUGGAUAAAUCUGAGGAUGCAUCGACACCACGGUUUGACCAAACGCCUUCAAAAUAUCAUUACUAAGAAAGACACUACCAGUAGCGUUGGUGUUUUGCAUACCGGUAGCGUGGGUUCCCGCGCUACUACUAAGGCGCUACAGCUAAAUUUUAGCAGUAGCGCGUUUUUUACCCCGCACUACAGCUAAAAAGUUAGUAGUAGUGUGGUGCCACCCACGCUACCACUAUUCCCGUGUCUUGUCUUUGCUAAACUGAACUCACCUUGCUCUAGUGUCUAGUGUGAAAGAAGUAGAAGAAAGAGUUGGCAAAAAUGAGGAAAGGCCUCGAUGAUGAUCGAUGACACAUCUCUGCAUGAGUGAAAGUUGUACCAUAUGAAACCGAGAGGGCGUGGAAGCUUUCGCGCUUGUUUCCAGACAAAGCGAAACACUACUGGAUUAUCAGAUCGAUUUUGUCCGGGCGCCAAUCGCUAAUUUACAUACGUCUGCUAUGGAAGAAAAGAUUUAGCAAAAGAUGGAUAAAGCGACGACGCAUAUCCAUCAAUCUCUACCAAAAGAUGAGAAGGUGUUGAAGAUCGUGUUGUUUCGGGUUCAAUUGUAAGCAAAUUAACGUACGAAAUCCCAACAACUCUGUUGGUCCCAUACAAAAUACGGGCAUGCUUUGAGUAUCGAGUUAAUACCACAAUUGAUACAUAAACUUAUAGGGGUGGGAACAGUAUCAUACAAAAACUAUAAAACCCCACAAAACUGCUCCUCCAACUUGUCUGCUGUAACAAAAUCAUACAAAGAGCUGUGGAGGCGACAUUUGGCAUUGCCACGUUGGCUGUGGUAAUUUUGCAGAAAGGCCAUCAGUUUAUUUUUUGUACACCGCGCUCCUCUCUCCCCUCCUACCCGUUCCCCGUUUGCCAAUCCCUAGCCCCGAGCUCCUCUCUGUCCACUCGGCCGCCGCUCCUCUCUGUCCACUCGGCCACCGCCCCUCUCUGUCCACUCCGCCGCCGCUCCGGCCACGGCGCCGCCGUCCUCUUGCUUCCACCGCCGGCUCAUGCGACAUGAAGGGGUCUCCAUCUUCAGGAUGGAGGGAGCAGGUAGGACGCCGUGGGUCAGGGGCAGC